rnacentral:lncRNA from 1 species
CAGACAAAGCCGUUUGCAAUGCGAUAGAGCGGACCGUGAUAGGAAUACGUUCCGACAGUACCCGAUCAUCUCGAUUAUGCCGACAGUUUUCGAACGGAUAACUUCCGUCAGCGUCGGUUCACUGUCUUGUCACUAUCUGAUCUCUGUCGGAUUACAUUCGGUAGAAUCGGGACGCAGUCGUGACAGACUCGGUCGAAAUUUACCUGGCGAAAGAUACAAAUCGAAUUUCCAUCCACGAUUCACAGGAUCUUGAUCAGACUUUUGACAAAUUUUAAUCGGGAAUGGUCCUGUCAAGGACGGCAGUAAAAAUCGUGAAUGUGUGACCCCAGCUUAAAACAAU